rnacentral:tRNA from 1 species
AUUAAAAUAGCAAAAAGGUAAAUGUGGGAGAUUUAGGUUCUUUUAUUAGAAGUUCGAUUCUUCUUUUUAAUU